AACUUUCUGCAAUGGGUCACGUGGUUCUGGCGUCGAUUAAGAACGCAGCGAAAUGCGAUAAGUAGUGUGAAUUGCAGAAUUCAGUGAAUCAUCGAAUCUUUGAACGCACAUUGCGCCCCUUGGUAUCCCGAGGGGCAUGCCUGUUCGAGCGUCAUUUCACCACUCAAGCCUGGCUUGGUGUUGGGCGACGUCCCCUUUGGGGACGCGCCUCGAAACGCUCGGCGGCGUGGCACCGGCUUUAAGCGUAGCAGAAUCUUUCGCUUCAAAAGUCGGGGCCCCGUCUGCCGGAAGACCUACUCGCAAGGUUGACCUCGGAUCAGGCAGGGAUACCCGCUGAACUUAAGCAUAUCAAUAAGCGGAGGCU
rnacentral:misc_RNA from 1 species